rnacentral:rRNA from 1 species
AGACCCGAAACCCGGUGAUCUAGCCAUGGGCAGGUUGAAGGUUGGGUAACACUAACUGGAGGACCGAACCGACUAAUGUUGAAAAAUUAGCGGAUGACCUGUGGCUGGGGGUGAAAGGCCAAUCAAACCGGGAGAUAGCUGGUUCUCCCCGAAAGCUAUUUAGGUAGCGCCUCGUGAAUUCAUCUCCGGGGGUAGAGCACUGUUUCGGCUAGGGGGCCAUCCCGGCUUACCAACCCGAUGCAAACUGCGAAUACCGGAGAAUGUUAUCACGGGAGACACACGGCGGGUGCUAACGUCCGUCGUGAAGAGGGAAACAACCCAGACCGCCAGCUAAGGUCCCAAAGUCAUGGUUAAGUGGGAAACGAUGUGGGAAGGCCCAGACAGCCAGGAUGUUGGCUUAGAAGCAGCCAUCAUUUAAAGAAAGCGUAAUAGCUCACUGGUCGAGUCGGCCUGCGCGGAAGAUGUAACGGGGCUAAACCAUGCACCGAAGCUGCGGCAGCGACACUGUGUGUUGUUGGGUAGGGGAGCGUUCUGUAAGCCUGUGAAGGUGUGUCGUGAGGCAUGCUGGAGGUAUCAGAAGUGCGAAUGCUGACAUAAGUAACGAUAAAGCGGGUGAAAAGCCCGCUCGCCGGAAGACCAAGGGUUCCUGUCCAACGUUAAUCGGGGCAGGGUGAGUCGACCCCUAAGGCGAGGCCGAAAGGCGUAGUCGAUGGGAAACGGGUUAAUAUUCCCGUACUUGGUGUUACUGCGAAGGGGGGACGGAGAAGGCUAUGUUGGCCGGGCGACGGUUGUCCCGGUUUAAGCGUGUAGGUGUGUGUUCCAGGUAAAUCCGGUUCACUUUAACACUGAGGCGUGACGACGAGGCACUACGGUGCUGAAGCAACAAAUGCCCUGCUUCCAGGAAAAGCCUCUAAGCAUCAGGUAACAUCAAAUCGUACCCCAAACCGACACAGGUGGUCAGGUAGAGAAUACCAAGGCGCUUGAGAGAACUCGGGUGAAGGAACUAGGCAAAAUGGUGCCGUAACUUCGGGAGAAGGCACGCUGACACGUAGGUGAAGUGAUUUACUCAUGGAGCUGAAGUCAGUCGAAGAUACCAGCUGGCUGCAACUGUUUAUUAAAAACACAGCACUGUGCAAACACGAAAGUGGACGUAUACGGUGUGACGCCUGCCCGGUGCCGGAAGGUUAAUUGAUGGGGUCAGCGCAAGCGAAGCUCCUGAUCGAAGCCCCGGUAAACGGCGGCCGUAACUAUAACGGUCCUAAGGUAGCGAAAUUCCUUGUCGGGUAAGUUCCGACCUGCACGAAUGGCGUAAUGAUGGCCAGGCUGUCUCCACCCGAGACUCAGUGAAAUUGAACUCGCUGUGAAGAUGCAGUGUACCCGCGGCAAGACGGAAAGACCCCGUGAACCUUUACUAUAGCUUGACACUGAACAUUGAGCCUUGAUGUGUAGGAUAGGUGGGAGGCUUUGAAGUGUGGACGCCAGUCUGCAUGGAGCCGACCUUGAAAUACCACCCUUUAAUGUUUGAUGUUCUAACGUGGACCCGUUACCCGGGUUGCGGACAGUGUCUGGUGGGUAGUUUGACUGGGGCGGUCUCCUCCUAAAGAGUA